rnacentral:rRNA from 1 species
UACGUAGGGUGCAAGCGUUGUCCGGAAUUAUUGGGCGUAAAGAGCUCGUAGGCGGUCUGUCACGUCGGCUGUGAAAACCCGAGGCUCAACCUCGGGCCUGCAGUCGAUACGGGCAAACUAGAGUACUGCAGGGGAGACUGGAAUUCCUGGUGUAGCGGUGAAAUGCGCAGAUAUCAGGAGGAACACCGGUGGCGAAGGCGGGUCUCUGGGCCAUAACUGACGCUGAGGAGCGAAAGCGUGGGGAGCGAACAGG